AACGGACGCUGGCGGCAGGCUUAACACAUGCAAGUCGAACGCUCCGCAAGGGGAGUGGCAGACGGGUGAGUAACGCGUGGGAAUCUACCCAGUUCUACGGAAUAACCCAGGGAAACUUGGACUAAUACCGUAUACGCCCUACGGGGGAAAGAUUUAUCGGAAUUGGAUGAGCCCGCGUUGGAUUAGCUAGUUGGUGGGGUAAUGGCCUACCAAGGCGACGAUCCAUAGCUGGUCUGAGAGGAUGAUCAGCCACACUGGGACUGAGACACGGCCCAGACUCCUACGGGAGGCAGCAGUGGGGAAUAUUGGACAAUGUGCGCAAGCCUGAUCCAGCCAUGCCGCGUGAGUGAUGAAGGCCUUAGGGUUGUAAAGCUCUUUCAGUGGGGACGAUAAUGACGGUACCCACAGAAGAAGCCCCGGCUAACUUCGUGCCAGCCGCCGCAGUAAAAC
rnacentral:rRNA from 1 species